UGUGCUUUAGAGACAGGUGUUUGAACACACUGGGGAGACUCACUACUGGACACAGAGGUACAGGGUUUAUAUGUGCUUUUUAUUUUCCAGGAUGUUUUCAAAUUUUUUAAGGCUAAACUGUUUGUUAUCCCAGAAAGGACUUGAUUUUCUGUAUUUUAUUGCCCAAUCUUUCUUUAUAUUCAAGAUUAUUGGUUGAAGCCCAAAAAAUAAAAGACCAAGAAGGAUACAAGAUGCAGAAACCAAUGCCAGAAAGACCUGACAAAGUUCUCUGAGGAGAGGUAGGAGCACCAUGAAGAGAGCAUCAUUUAAUUUCUGCAGCAAAAUACAUGAGAACCUGGCACAGCACCCAUGAGAAACAUCAGCUCAGGAAGACCACUUCCCAUGGAGGCCAUGGAGAAGGGCAAGGCAAUUGCUGCAGCAUUUUCAAUGGUAACUGUCUCAAGAAAAAAUUGUCACUUUCUGUAAUACCCUGUCCUGGCCUUGCGUCCUCUUCUAUGAUAUCUUGACUGUCUCACCAAUUGUCAAAGGCAACAAACACGGCUUCUCCUGGACUAGCUUGUCACCUUUGGGGAAUUCCAGAGCUGUAAGUACUUAUAGCCCAGGGAGGGCUGAAUGGCUUUGCUGUAUUUCUGGGAAGAACAUGAGGACAACACUUAACUCUGCUGCUG
rnacentral:lncRNA from 1 species